UUCUUACUAGCUCAAUGGUAGAGCAAUAUACUUCUAAUAUAUUAAUCUAAGUUCAAAUCUUAGGUAAGACA
rfam:Exophiala xenobiotica strain CBS 118157 unplaced genomic scaffold supercont1.15, whole genome shotgun sequence.